ensembl:lncRNA
AGCUCAAAUGAGACACUGGCAGGAAGUUUGCUGUUUGCUACCUGAGGGCUACCUCGGUCUCUGAAAGCCGGCCUUCUGGGUGAUGGAGACGCUGAGCAGGGUGAGAGGUUGGGCCUGAUGACAGCCACAUCCUUUCAAAAUCUAAAACUUCACAUCUAUGAAAAUGAAGAAUGGAGCAUACUCUAAGGAUUUGUGGACAGUGGAAACCUGAUAAGAACUUUUUUGUCCUUUGGCUCUUUAGUAAUCAUGUAUGGAUGUGAGAGUUGGACUGUGAAGAAAGCUGAGCACCGAAGAAUUGAUGCUUUUGAACUGUGGUGUUGGAGAAGACUCUUGAGAGUCCCUUGGACUGCAAGGAGAUCCAACCAGUCCAUUCUAAAGGAGAUCAGUUCUGGGUGUUCUUUGGAAGGAAUGAUGCUAAAGCUGAAACUCCAAUACUUUGGCCACCUGAUGCGAAGUGUUGACUCAUUGGAAAAGACUCUGAUGCUGGGAGGGAUUGGGGGCAGGAGGAAGGGGACGACAGAGGAUGAGAUGGCUGGAUGGCAUCACCGACU